rnacentral:rRNA from 1 species
UACGUAGGGUGCGAGCGUUGUCCGGAAUUACUGGGCGUAAAGAGCUCGUAGGUGGUUUGUCGCGUUGUUCGUGAAAACUCACAGCUUAACUGUGGGCGUGCGGGCGAUACGGGCAGACUGGAGUACUGCAGGGGAGACUGGAAUUCCUGGUGUAGCGGUGGAAUGCGCAGAGUAUCAGGAGGAACACCGGUGGCGAAGGCGGGGUCUCUGGGCAGUAACUGACGCUGAGGAGCGAAAGCGUGGGGAGCGAACAGGA